rnacentral:rRNA from 1 species
UACGUAGGGACCGAGCGUUGUCCGGAUUCAUUGGGCGUAAAGCGCUCGCAGGUGGUUCGUUGCGUCGUGCGUGGAAAGACCCCGGCUCAACUGGGGAGGGUCGUGCGAUACGGGCGGACUGGAGGCCAGUAGGGGGAUGCGGAAUUCCGGGUGUAGUGGUGGAAUGCGUAGAGAUCCGGAGGAACACCAGCGGCGAAGGCGGCAUCCUGGACUGGUCCUGACACUCAGGAGCGAAAGCGUGGGGAGCGAACAGG